CUUCUAAUUCAGUUACCACGCAAAUUUGCUUCUUUUGGCAAUUUGCAAGUAAAAGCAACAAUUUUCAUAACUGAACAAGACAGCGGGUUCAGUGGAAUUGUUACCAGUCUGAAAUUAAUUUUUUUACAAUCGUGAAUGGUGAAUGCUUGAAGUAGAAUAAAUUGUUGUCUUGAUCGCUAAAUUGCGGUUGGGCUUCAAAGUGCCUAUUCCUAUAUUGCGGUCUCGGCCAUCACAGAUGUACGGAAUUUUCCCCAUUUCACCUUCAUGGAUCUUGCAUAAAGCACACAUCUUUAAUUUAUUUGUUAAAUUACUAACUGAAGUAAACGCAUAAUCGAACGGAAUCUACUAAACGCAUUGUCAUUUAGCUGCACUUGGCUGGACUAUGCGAUAAACCAGUCGAUUCUGCACAAGAAAAAACGUCGUCGAACAAUGGUUUCCCUUGUCCAACGCCACCAAAGCUAAAGGGUAAACGCAUAAUCUGAUGGACGUCUGAGAAUCUUCUAAACGCAUUCUAAUUUACCUGCAUUUGGCUGCACUAUGCGGUAAACCAGCCGAUUCUGCGCAAGUUACUUUAAGCUAAAAUGUGCCGCGCUUAACUGCGCUCAUUGGUUCCCUUGUCCAACGCCGCCAAAGCUAAAGGCUAACGCACAGUAGGACGGACGUCGGACAAUCUUCUAAACGCAUUGUAAUUUACUUGCACUUGGCGGAACUAUGCGCUAAACCAGCCGAUCCUGCGCAAGAUAAAACGUGCUGCGCUUAGCUGCGAUCAAUGGUUUCCCUAGUCCAACGCCACCAAUAAGUUUAUUGGUGUAAUCGCGUGUGCUCCUUGGUGCCAGUUUGCCCUGCGAAAGUGAACUAGUGCGGUUGUCCGUGGAUGAUGCUUCUUCCCAGGAGAGACCGAAUUGAUAAGGCUAAGGGAUUCCAGAAGGGCAGCCUUAUAAAGGUAGGAUUUUUCGUUUUGGUGCAUGGGUGACGGCAUUUUUUUUGUAUUUAGCAGGGGGGGAGUGAAUAGUGUAUAUAGUGACUCUAAAGAAGAUCAACAAUUUUCUUGCAUGACCUUUGCACUGUAAUUGUAAGUGAGCUGUGACUUUCUGCUAAUCUUAUCGUCUUGGUAACCUAAAAUUGACUGCAAUGGUUCUUUAAACAGCUUCUUUCGCGGCGACUAUCGGUUGACUUUAUGCAAAAGACUGCAAAUAUGAAUUCAUAGCUUUGCCGGUUUUAUUAAGUAAACGGAUUGUAACUUCGAAAAAAAGACUAAGAGGGAGCAUUGCAGUCCCUUUCGUUGCCCAGGUGAGUAGCUUCACGGAUUGUCAUAUCUCAUUUGUUAUUAUGCAAAGAUCUGCUUAAUGGUAAGGUGAGUUAGGAUGUUCCUUAAUUACUGCAUCGAAACUCUUAAUUUGUACUGAAUUAUGACUUAUGAGCGAUAAGUAGUUAAGAAACGAACACAUCGAGAAAUAAACUGCUAACUGCUAAACUCAUCGAUUGUCCUUUCUCUCCUGAUGUAGCGCUGGUCCUGUCGUGUUAUCUACUGACGAGGAUUUACCAGUCCGUGGUCCUGAUUCCAGUCUUCCCCCGUCUCUGUUGAACACAUAUGAAUCCGGUUUAAGCAAAUAAAAUCUGCCAACUCGACGCUUUGGCUGUUGUGUAUCCUGUCACAGUGAACGUCGUCUGCCUUAAGUCCGAUGGUUUCCGUUGUCCUUCACACCAAACCCAAUGGU